rnacentral:lncRNA from 1 species
UGGAGGUGGAGAGAUAGUUCCACUCAGAAUGAGCGUGAUAUGUCUUUGAAGUCUACUAUUUCAUCUUUAAAAAAUCCUGCAACUUUAAAAUUGACCCCAAGUUACAUCUUUACUUAUUUUCUAAUAAAAGAACUGUUUUAAAUUACUUACCAAUGCAUACAAUGGACCCUAUUCAUUCCUCCCCUUUAUGUAGUAUCUAGCACAUGUUCAGUAUAAAAAAUACAGACUGGACAAUUAUAUCCUAUAGUAAAUGAAAGUACUGAGACCGUGAGAUGUAAGGAGAUUUGUUUAAGAUCACCAUGGUAGAAUCAACACGAGGAUUCAGGGUGAGUGACUUCCCGCCCAGUGGGUUUCCAAUCAAAUUCUGACAGAUGUUUCAAUGUGAUGUCUUUUUCACAUGGGUUCCUGGAAACUAGGGUUUCUGUAAGUCAGGAAAAUCUGGAACCCAACUGGCCGCAUUUAACUUGGUUUCUGUGCUAUAUAAGUAAACCUGGAAAACUACUGUAGGAGUAGUGUACAUCUACAUAUGCCUCUGACAGCAGACCAGCUCAAAAGGGGAUUGUGGGGACUUUAGUGUGUGUGUGUUGUGGGGGGGAUAAAUGAAGGGUAAGCAGUUGUGUAGCUGUGGUGGGAGCAGUGGUGGGUAGCUUUCAAUAGUAGAUCAUCAUAUUUUUCCAUUUUCUGAAACCACAGUUCUUUCCUGAAAGCCAUUAGUCUGGUUUAGGCUUCAGGCUGCUGGAGGAAAGCAUUAUUUAGUGAGUGCUGCAGAAGCUGAUUCUUGUGGAACCCAUGAGACUUAGAUCUUGCUGAUGUCAGAAUUUUCACAAGAUUUUGCAUUUUCAGAGACGUUUUGUACUCUGUUUGAGAGCUUGAUAUAAAUGGUCUUGUUUUCUAUUUCCCAGAUUAAAAUCUGUGGAUAAAAAGAACUUCAUUUGUUCCCUAUGGAAGAUGCAAAAUAUAUUUGAGUGACUGAAUGGAUACAUCUUUGUGAAUGACUAUGACUCAGGUUUACAUUGCCAUUUUCAUAAAAAAAGGGGGAAAAUUUGCUCUUCUAAACUAAAUUCAAGAGUAGAGAGAGGUAAUACUAUGUCCACCAAAAAAUUACAAUAGAAGUGAAAUAUUCAUAUUCUAAUCUUUCAAACAAAAGUAAGGAACCAUUUUGUUGCUCCCUCUCAUGGCUGAGAUUAGGGAAUUCUGGCUUUUCUCUUUGGUCAGGUGAACUACUCAGGGGUAUUUAUUAAGUGAAUACAUUCACCAAACAGUCUUGGACUUCACAGGACAACUACUCGGUGCCAUUCAGUGAAAGCUGGGAAUACGAAGAUGCCUAAGGUCAUGUGAGCCCCACAUUUCUUGCAGUCCAGUGGAAAGACAGCUGCAUGAAUAUAUACUAGAGUGAAUAUAGAUACAAUAAAUUAUACCCAAGUGUAAUACAAUUAACAACUUUUAUGCUAGUGGUAUAAACCAGAAGAGGGAUUUUGUCAAUCGAUAUUAAUUUGGGAGGUUAAGGAGGGUUUUACUGAGAAGAUAAGUUGAAAUGCAAGGAUGUAUACACAUUUUUCCAGGCAGAAAAUGGGAAAGGCAUUAUGGAAGGAGGCAAGCAAAGGCAAGGCAGUGGAUGGACGUGGGAAACUGCCACACACCAUCUCUUGAGGAUACGAAAGGAGACAAGAUUUUAAAAAAAUGUUGCUAAAAAUACGUGCAGGUUUUUAAAAAAGCUGAUUUCAUCUCUGAUUAGUGGCCAAGGCAACAGUCAGUACAGAUUAAAAAGAAGUUGCAUGCAAUGAGAAGGAGAGGGCUGCCAUGUGGCAAGAAACCAAGGCCUCCUGCAAACAGGCAUGUGUAUGAGCCAUCCAAUGGUGGCUCCUUCAGCCCCAGUCAGACCUUCAGGUGAGACAACAGCAUCUGCCAGCAUCAUAACCUCCACCUUAUGAGAGACUCUGAGCCAGAGCUACCCAGAAAGUGUCUCUUAGGGCUGUUGUUCUUAGAAGAGUGUGAGCGAAGCAGGAACUUGGAAUUUCAUACUCUUUUUCCAGCACAAGUAUGAAGAAAUGAACUAGACGUGAAGAAGUCUGUGAAAAGAAGUCAGUGAACUUCAGGGAAUAUCCUGUGAGCAUCAUCUUCUUUAUUCAGCAACAUUAAGAGCAUCUCCAGUGGGUUCACAUAUAUUUUUUUGAGUGUCUGUUUUCUGUUAAUCAUGGUGAGAACAUUAAGAAUAAUUUUAGAAAUUGGAAACAUUCUUAACUCUGAGAGAUCAUUACUUUGCUCUGCUGUGGUUACAAAUACAGUAAGUUCAACAUAAACACAGCUUAAGAAGUGUCUCAACCACUUCAGAAAUGUAGAAGUAUUUUUUAUAAUCUAGAGUAUUUAAUUAAUCAAAACUUCUAUUCCCCUAGUAUUCUGAGUAAUCAAUAUUUUCAUUUGUGAGUUUCAGAUGAAGAAUUAUUUGCACAAUGACAUAUCUGGGUUUUUUAAUACACUUUCUUCUGAAUCUUUCUUUAGUGUGAUGUGAGGUAUACAUGAGAAGUGUGCAUUUAAAUAGUCACAGUAAUGAUUGUAAUGAAUUCCAAGUGAGGACCGCAUGCUCUAAUUCCCAUGAAUUGAGGGGUAAUAUUUUUAUGUUAUCGUUUUCUAUAAUAAAACCUAAAAGCAGGUGCACAUGUCUGGCAAUUUAAAAGUUUCAAUAAAUUAAUAUUUG